CUUUUCCGGGUCUUCACGAGAAGCGAAUUGCGUGUGAAGGGAAAUCCGAGAAGGGAGAAGUAUAAUUGGUACGAGGGAAAGACGAAGAAUUUCGGGAUUUAUUGGAAUUUCUGGAUAAUAGUAAAUCACAUCAAAACAAGAAUGCCUUCAGCAAAAAAUGUAGGUAUUUAAGCAGUUAUACAAGACAUCCUGACUAGUUGUUCAGGGUUGGAUGUGAACAGACAGGUAACAGGUCAGUAUUUUCUCUACCACAUGCCUGUAACACUUCAUCUUUCAAUCUAUUCACUGCAGCUUUUUCCCCCCCCUAACAUGUAAAAGCAUAUUUUCCCCUCCUUGUAUUCUUUGAUGUUAUAUGGCUGGAUGCAGUGAAGAGAUUAAAAGGAGCUUGUACCUGUAAAUGUGGUUUUGAUUAUGGGUUUUACCAGAUUUUUGUGGUGGAUGACAUCUGGGAGUGCUUUAAGCCACGAGAGAAA